UUGAGUUUAGAGUGGUAAUAAAGUAUGAAUUGUUUUUGUACCUCUCGAAGAGUCUCUGCCACUGACGCACGUGACUUUUUGGAGAGAAGAUAUUGGGUUGGGAAGUAAUUUUUUAGCGAUUCCUCCGAUAAUCAGCAGUCAUUUCAGAAGGCUGUUCUUUUUCCGCUUUUAACUUUAAAAAUUGCACUUGCGAAGAACCAGUCGUUUACUUUCAACGCACUCCUCCAUACCAAAGAUGCUCUCUUUACCUCAUUGUCCUGCUGC
rnacentral:lncRNA from 1 species